rnacentral:rRNA from 1 species
GGCUCCCUGUAAAAAUAAAAUAGGGAGUCGGACCUGCCCAGUGAGGAUUUCAACGGCCGCGGUAUUCUGACCGUGCAAAGGUAGCAUAAUCAUUUGCCUUAUAAUUGAAGGCUGGAAUGAAUGGUUUGACAAGAGUAUAACUGUCUCUUUAUGAUUUUAUAGAAUUUUAUAUCUAGGUGAAGAAGCUUAGUUACAAUUAAAAGACAAGAAGACCCUAUCGAGCUUAAAAAAAAUUAGUAGAUACAUAGUAAUAUAACUAAAAGUCUUUCUACUGAAAAUUUUAGUUGGGGCAACUGAGGAACAAAGCUUCCUUGAAAAUUUAAAUUUUUACAGAAAAUGAUCCAAAAUUUUUGAUUAAGGAAAUUAGUUACCGUAGGGAUAACAGCAUAAUUCUUUUUUAGAGUUCAAAUCGAAAAAAGGGUUUGUGACCUCGAUGUUGGAUCAGAAUAUCCUAAAGAUGCAGUAGUCUUUAAGGGUUGGUCUGUUCGACCAUUAAAAUUCUACG